rnacentral:rRNA from 1 species
CUUAGUGGCGGACUGGUGAGUAACGCGUGAGGAACCUGCCUUACACAGGGGGAUAACACCUGGAAACAGGUGCUAAUACCGCAUAAGCGCACAGGGCCGCAUGGCCCGGUGUGAAAAACUCCGGUGGUGUAAGAUGGACCCGCGUCUGAUUAGCUUGUUGGCGGGGUAGGGGCCCACCAAGGCGACGAUCAGUAGCCGGCCUGAGAGGGUGGACGGCCACAUUGGGACUGAGACACGGCCCAAACUCCUACGGAAGGCAGCAG